UCCCACCGCCCCUCCCCAAUCCUUUCCUCCUUCCCCUGUCCCCUCCUGCGCGCAAACUCGCUACUCCCUCCGGGUCACGCUCGGACCCCGCCCCUUUGCUGCUGCGCAGGCGCGGCCGUCUCUAGUCGAGUCGCGCGCAGACGCCUGCGUCAUUGGGGUUCGUGUGUCGAGUCACAGGCGGCUUUGCGAGAGCAGCGGCCGAAGCCAGCACGGUGGAGGUGGCCUCGACUCUAGGAUUUCUACCUCCUGAUCUCUUUGCAGAUUAAUGAAGAAGAAAAAAUUACUGUUUUUCAAAACAGAUCUAAGUGGAUUGACUGUACCCCCUCUUUUAUGUUGUGGCCUUGGGUAGAAGAUAAAGAUUGUCGAGUAUCUACAAAGAGAUGAAAGUUGAAGAUGUGAAGGCAGACGAGAUCUUGGCAGAAGAGAGUAGAUGCAGGGAAGGACCAAGCAUGUGCUCCUACGGAGGAAGAGAGGAAGUGAAGGAAUUAACCGAGAGUUACCUACAGAUGAUCUGACAUAGAAGAUACAUCAAGGACAAGGUCAGGACAUAGGUCAACCAUUCUGACUCAUCAUCCUCUGAUCAAACUGUAAAAUGAUACAUACUAAAAUAUUGAAGUCACAGUCUAUGGUGUCUCUAUAAAUUAUGAUAAAUAAGACACUAAACAUCCUGCAAAUAUGUGAAAUAGCACUGUUCUGGCCCCUCAGAGUCAGUGAGGCAAGUCUGUCAUAGCUCCAGGUACCCACUUGAUCAGUCAUGGUCUUGAAAACGGAUUGUAUGGUGACCAGAGCCAUCUGUGCGGCACUGCGGAGACCCACAUGGAGACCUCUGAAAGAGGGGAGCCAGACCAAGACCACUGGCCAUUGCAUGUCCACAGGUCCAAACGCUCCUAAGCUCCAGGAUCAUGUUACAUCUACCUGCACAUCUGGAUCUGUUUCCGAGUCAUCCCCACCGAGCUCUUUGGCUGGCUCAGCUGUUAGGGCAGCUGUGUACUCAGCUGUAAUUGGAGACACCUCAGAGCACGUGCAUUUCUAAUUCUGAGAAGACCCAGACCUGACCAUGAAAGUACAUGGAAUGUGAUUAGGUGGUUCGCUCGCGGAAGCGAUGUCCUCAUUGGCUGGCAGUGCUGCCAGUGUAGCAAGGCUAGAAAAGAAAAGAUAAAGGAAGAAAACAGGAAGAAGCAGUCCUCCAAGAGGCGGUGAAAACUCCACAAAGCAGAGAGAAGAAGCAUUUCCGAAGCACAGUGUGUAGUGGAUAUGAGUGUGAUUUCGGUUCUGAUUUAGACAAGAGCAUUAAAUGGGAAACAACAGUGUUCUCUGCCGCAGCCCAGGAUGGUGAUGGCAUUGGAAUUAAAAAGAAGAGAAGACAGGAAGAGAGGUUGGAUCUGACGUCCAGCUGCCCAUCCCUACGUGAGUCACCUGUCAAUCCUCGUCUCCGAGGUUCUGGGAUUAAUUUCGUUAGUAAAGGAGGUUAUAUAUUUCCAGAAAAAUUUAGCGUUUGGCAAUAUUUUUGCUAUUUUCUGACUAUGGAUGUUAUUUUUGGUUCUAUCUGUGUAUUUCAGAUAGAACUGUCCAUUGAGUACAAAAUAUAUACUGUUAUUCAGAAUAUAGAAUAUUGUUAUAGAAGAGAUUUCAUGUGGAUGGAGGUUCAUCCCUCACAUCUCAUUAUGUUAUUAAAGAUGACAUUUCAUCGUGGUUUAUACCUGGCAUUCUGAUGAACAUCAAACAUUAUGAGAACUCGUAGAAAACCGUGGCCUGUUAUGUUUGCCCAAGUGUGUUUUUCUGAUGAUGAAAGGAUAUUUGGAGACCUUUUGUGUAAACUCUUCCGAAUCCUAGCUUAUAUUUUUGUAACAUUUAGUGAUACUCUUCCUUCACCCGUAUCCUCAAUUGCCCCAUUCUAACUUGCCCCGCUCUUAACCUACUGGGGUCGAGAGGGAGUUUCGUUUUCCCUUUUAUACUUGAUUCAGCCUAUGACUUCCAAUAUUGUCCCCAUUGUCCCCAUUUUCUAAGGAAAUGAGAAAGGGCAAAGGUAAAGUACAGGGCGAGCAGGGCUGGUUCUCAGGAGAUGCAUCAUUUUUGCUCUCGUCUCAUCAGCCAGUAUGUCACUAGCCACACCUCGCUUCAGGAAGGCUGGAAAUGUAGCUACUAUCUGGGUGGUCAUAUACCAAGCAGAAAUGUUGUAGAUUUUAUUACUAGAAGAAAGAAAGGGAGAUAUACUCGGUGAUAAUUUGUUGUCACUGGCUCAGAAAACAUACCGAAGGUAAAUAUCUAGCAGGCAAUACUUACGAGGACAAAUGGAAGUAUGAGAUGACGGCGUGGGAACCAGAAAUCUUGUAUGCUUGGGGGAGUUAGUUUGUGGGGUGAAUUCGUAAGUUGGUUUAUGAACUCAUUUGGUUUAGGAUUUUGUUGUGAAUCUUUGAUAACCUGAGGUACAUUUAUUGAUCAAAGAGAAACUAUAGAGUAAGUGCUAAUUUUUUGUUACUGAAGUUCAUUGUGACACUCAUAAUUAAUUUUUCUUAAUAAAUGCACUUGUCAUAUUUUUGUGAGCUUACCUCUUAUUUAUGUUAGCCUUUUCAAUUAAGAUUUGCACUGAUGAAAGGACAAAUAGCCUAGAAGUGUUAUUGGUAUUAGACAAGUGUGUUUUACUUCAUUCAAUAUGGGUAAUAUUUUAAAGCCCUGAAAAGAACUUUAUUAUGUAAUUAUUAAAGUUUAAAGUUCUCAUAUUUUGCUUUUCAGCAAAUAGUGGAGAAACAUAUUUACUUCUAUCCAUGUAAAUCUAAAUG